GGGCAAAGAGCAUCUGUUCCCUCCAUUCUCCCAGCUCCAUCGGCUGCCAACCUAGGGCCAUCGUCUGCCUCCAUCACCCCUCCGCCCGCCCGCCUACCCACCCAAUCCCAAACGGGUGCUGGAUCAGGUGCUGAAUCCGGCUGCCUCCUCGGGUACCAGUCACUGUGCAUUGCUGUGUGUCUGCCACCGCUGCCUGGCACUCAUGGGGCCGUGUGUGUGUGUAUGUGUGUGUGCGCGCAUGUACAUGUACGCAUAAGCGUGUGCUGUAUGUGAGCCUCCUGGGCAUGGGUGGGGGUUGGCAUUGCGGUUGCCAAUCUAGUGUCCAACCAGAAGGACAGAGGGAUGGAGUGGAAGAAGGAGGGGAGAGGCUUGGGGUCUGGGAGGGGAGAAGAGGGUGCAUGAGUUGCUUCAUGCUGCCUGCUUACAGGCAUUGGCAUUGUAGCUGCCACCCUUUUGCCCACGGAGAUGGGAGGAGGCGAGUGGAGGGCGCAGCGGCAGGAGUCCUGUGCUCUGGGAGGAAGGCUUUGUACAUGGGAGCUGUUGGCAUCACAUCUGUCAGGCCGGUGCCCAGAACUGGGGCAAUGGAGACUGGGGGAUCCAGGAAGCAGGGAGGAGGGGCAGAAUGUGUUUCUGAUGUUGCUGUCCCUCUAGAAGCUCAGCUCUGAAAAAUGGUUGGAGUAUGAGGUGAUUAGUGCUCUUCCAUCUUGAGGAAGUAAAGUGGUGGAGAGAGUAGCCAGGGAAGUGCCAAGAAACAGUCUACGAGCCAGGGAGGAGGGAGUGUGCCACCGUACCCAGGGAGAACUUGUUGGGGCUGGCAAUCUGGCCCUUUGUCAGAGUAUUGAAGGAGACAGCAAGAGGACCAGAUGUGAGGUGGGUGGGUGCUGGCACUGCCCAUGGCACCUGGCACAGGCUCUGGCAUUGUGUGGAACAGGGGAGGGUGACAGUGCCUCUUGCCAAUCUGGUUGAGAGGGCUAUUGUGCCAGGAGUGAGAAGGAAGGAGGUGAAACAUUUCGGGAGGUGGGGUGUUUGGGAGACCAGAUUUUUUUCUGCCAGGUCCUCCUUCCCCUUCCCUCUUAGGCAUGGGGAGUGGAGCAACAGACGGAGAGUGGCAUGAAGACACAAAGGAGGAAGCACACCAUUGCCAAGACCCCAAGGAAGAAGGAUGGAAAGCGCUGGCAGUCCUGCCUGGCCCCCAGCCAGUUCCCUGCUGAAGAUGGCCAGAUCCCCUUGUCUGGUCUGUAUAUGCCACUUUUGCUGGGGUGGAAGGAGGGAAGGGCUGGCUUGCUGAGCUAGGCUCUAGAAUGGGAAGGGUACCUUUCUGCAGAUCCCAUUUGGACUCUCCACUUGAACAAGUGAGGUGUCUGAUUUUCUUCUUCGGUACCUUCCUCUCCUCCCCCUCCCUUCGCCUCACCCCGCUUUCAUCUAUCAUCACCACCUGGGUCCUACUGCUUGGCACCCAACCAACUGGAUGCCGCCACGUUUGGCAGUGCUGCACUGGCACGUGAACAGUGUCUCAGAUCCUGGCACUGCAGCAAACCCAAAGCCACCAAACAUGCUCAUGAUGCCACUUGGCAGCAGUCAGAGAGAGGGGGCUGUGCACAUAGUGGUGCCAGGCAUUGGGUGGAGCUCUGUGCAGGGAACUGGCAUGAGAGGAUGCCCUUAACAACUGGGCUGAGUCAGCACUCCCUGGUCAAUCUCAGCUCUGCCUUCCUCCCAACUAGAUAUCCACCUCCUUCCUACCCUUAUUGCCCCCACGAAAGGGAUUUAGAUGGUACCAUAUUGAGUGUUUGAGCACCAUGCGAAAGGAAACAAGCACAGAGGGACAGGCUAGAGCACAGGCUGUAGACACACCCAAGGCUCCAGGCUAGUGGACCAUACAUAUCCUUGGACAACAACAACAACAAAACCCUAGGAGAGCAAAAGGAGGUGGAGAGAGGGACACCAGCUGGGUUGUUACCAGGAUGGCACAAGAAGAGAUUGGAAGGGAAGUAGGAAGGAGUGACCCUCAGACCUUGCUCUUGGGUGAUGGGGUGGUUUGUACUUAUGCAUAUUUCAUUCUGCCUUGUGCCUUGUGAUUUGCUGAGCUGUGGUUGAGAUGAACUGGUUCUUUCUCCCUUGUUAAAAGGUCCAUAUUCAAUAAUAGUCCUAGAAAGAUGGAAAGGUGCUCUAGGCCUAGAGAGGUAGACAGGUGUUAGGAAGACAAAGGGACUUGUCCUUCCAGAAAGACUAUGCAAGGCACCCAGUUAGAGUUGGAUAGAUUUCCAUAUCUUUGAAAUCCACCCCAAGAAGGGAGAUUGAGGAUAAGCAAUGAUCCCUGGUAGAGGGGAAGUCCCCUAGGAGGAGAAUCCCCAGCAUCUGUGGUUAUACAGACUAGCCCUCAGAAAACUAGACCUUGGGCCCCCAUCUGAAAGAAUUCUAGUAGGUUUGGCUUUCCCAGUGACUGGGCAGAUCUUUAGAAGAUCUGGAAGAUUUGGCUGUGGGUGAUGUGGAGGGGAGGCUGGGUGGCUCUGGGAGAUAGGACCUGCCCAGAGGUAGGAGUAAAGUCCAUGCUGGGCUGAGCUGCUCAGGGCUGGGGCAGUUCUGAUUUCAGCAUCUCUGGAAGUGUAUGGAUACUUCAGAAGAAGCAAGGUGUUUUCCACAGCAGAGGAGAAAGCAGGGAGGCACUCAGCCAAAGUGGGAUGAAUGGCUGUCUUAAAACAGAUCACAGUGGUGGAGAUUUGGAGAAUCAGUGAUCUGGUCUAUAAGCCCUGAAAGUGGUUAAGAAACAAAUACAAAGAAUUAAGCAGAUGGGUGCUAUUAUGCCUGGAAUAAAAGGCUUGCUUGGUUCUUAAGCCUACUUCUAAUGCCCACUGUGCAUUGCUCUCUGGAGCAGGACUGCUGCUGCUAAGGACUUCUGGUGUGAGAAAGGGACUGGGAAGGAAUGCUUCCAGCCACUGGGAACAUGGAAUGGUGCCCCCUCAGGAAGCAUGUUAAUUGACCUAAGUCAGCAGAGUCAGCCCGGCUCUUCUGCCCCCAAAUUCCAGGGUUCCAGGUAAGUACAGUUGCUUAGAGUCAGCUCAUAUCUACUGUUGGGACCGCACGUGGUAUUGCCAGGCCAGGGUGUUGGGUGUAGAAGAACAUGUUGCGUGACAAGAGGAGGGGGGAUUUCUGGUUACAUCAACUCUCGGUGAAAACACUCAUAGUUCAAACUGAAGUUGGCUGAAAUCCUUAAGAUACAGCACACCACAGC
rnacentral:lncRNA from 1 species